UACGUAGGUGACAAGCGUUGUCCGGAUUUACUGGGCGUAAAGCGCGCGCAGGCGGCGGUGCUGGCCCGGCGUGAAAGCCCCCGGCUCAACCGGGGAGGGUCGUCGGGGACCGCACCGCUUGAGGGCGGUAGGGGCUGGUGGAAUGCCUGGUGUAGUGGUGAAAUGCGUAGAGAUCAGGCGGAACACCCGUGGCGAAGGCGGCCAGCUGGGCCGUCCCUGACGCUGAGGAACGAAAGCGUGGGGAGCGAACAGG
rnacentral:rRNA from 1 species